AGUCUGGUGCCAGCAGCCGCGGUAAUUCCAGCUCCAAUAGUGUAUAUUAAAGUUGCUGCGGUUAAAAAGCUCGUAGUUGGAUUUCGGAACGCACAGAGUCAGAGCCCAUCCUUAGGGGUGCGUGCUCGACCCUUGCUUCUUACCUUCCGGUAACGCGUGAUUCCUCUUCGCGGGGGAGUUACGAGGUUCCGGAUCGUUUACUUUGAAAAAAUUAGAGUGUUCAAAGCAGGCGUAACUUGCAUUCGAAUACAUUAGCAUGGGAUAAUAGAAUACGACUUUGGUCUUAUUUUGUUGGUUUCUAAGGCCGAAGUAAUGAUUGAUAGGGAUAGUUGGGGCUGCUCGUAUUGAGUUGUCAGAGGUGAAAUUCUAGGAUUUACUCAAGACGAACUAAUGCGAAAGCAUUCAGCAAGGAUGUUUUCAUUAAUCAAGAACGAAAGUUGGGGGAUCGAAGAUGAUCAGAUACCGUCGUAGUCUCAACCAUAAACUAUGUCGACCAAGGAUCCGGUAGCGUUACAUGGAUGACCUUCCAGGCACUCUGUGAGAAAUCACAAGUAUUUGGAUUUCGGGGGGAGUAUGGUCGCAAGGCUGAAACUUAAAGGGAUUGACGGAAGGGCACCACCAGGAGUGGAAUCUGCGGCUUAAUUUGACCCAACACGGGAAAACUUACCAGGUCCGGACACAGUGAGGAUUGACAGAUUGAGAGCUCUUUCUUGAUUCUGUGGGUGGUGGUGCAUGGCCGUUUUUAGUUGGUGGAGUGAUUUGUCUGGUUAAUUCCGUUAACGAACGAGACCUUGACCUACUAAAUAGUUGUGCGAACUCGGUUCUUCGAGCUGACUCUUCGGGGAAGGUAAGGGAACCGUCAACGUUCGCAAAAGACUUCUUAGAGGGACUCUUCGCAUCUCUAGCGAAUGGAAGUUUGAGGCAAAAACAGGUCUGUGAUGCCCUUCGAUGUUCUGGGCUGCACGCGCGUUACACUGACGCAUGCAACGAGCUUUAUUCCUGGCCCGACGGGGUUGGGUAAUCUUUUUAAAGUGCGUCGUGAUGGGGAUAGAACAUUGCAAUUAUUGUUCUUGAACGAGGAAUUCCUAGUAAUUGCAGGUCAACAACCUGCGAUGAUUACGUCCCUGCCCUUUGUACACACCGCCCGUCGCUCCUACCGAUGGUUGAACCGAUGAGGACUCGGGACAUUUGGGGUUCCCGGUCGGCCGCAAGGUCGAUCGCCCUAGGUGAAACUUGUUCAAAUCUUUUUAACUAGAG
rnacentral:rRNA from 1 species